CCUUGCUCUUCCAACUGUCAUUCUGGUCCUGCCAGUCAACUUUAGAAUUCCAAAAUCCUCCAACUCCAUCUUAACAAGGGGAAGAAUAUUAUUAUUAGAAGGAGAGGAAGAGAGUGCUAAAAGUCCUAUGAUAACCCAGAUCUUCUCCAUUGUCAGAAUCAUGCCCAAAUUCAUACCUGUUGUAUUCUUCUGGAUCAGCACCUUCAGGAUGAACCUAAAUAUUUGCUUACCUUUAACAAGCAGAGCCCAGAACUUCUCAGAACCGAGUGAGGGCCUUCAUUUUUCUAGGUGUUUCUGAUACAUAACAAUCAUCCUUUGUGACUAGUGGGCCUGGGUUGAGAAAAAUCCUAAAAACCUUUCCUGAUAUGAUGAUGAUCAUCUCACCAGAAGGACUCUAGAGAUUUCCAGAUAAGAUAAUGAUUACCUGCAAAGUCAUUCUAAGGACUUACUGUUGAGAAUUUGCUGAUAUACUUUCCCCUUGGAUUGUUUCUUUUCUCUUUUCCUCAUUUUUCAAACAAUAAAAGCUGGCUAAUUUCUGUAUCUAAAUGGGCU
rnacentral:lncRNA from 1 species